UGUGAUAUUUGUUUGAAAUUAGCCUGUGGUUGGAAAGUGAUCAUUUAAAAGUCCACACAUUUACCAUGUUUUUACCAUAGUUACGUAGUUUUAAUGUGGUAUUUGUAGUUAAAACACGGUAUCCACAACACUUACCUUGUUUCACCACAGUAACUGUGUUUUUACUGUGUACUAUUUGUAGUUAAAGCACAAAAACACAACAUUUACCAUGUUUUUACCACAGUAACAUAGUUUUAAUGUGGUAUUUGUAGUUAAAACACGGUAUCCACAACACUUACCUUGUUUUACCACUGUACUGUAACUGUGUUUUUACUAUGUACUAUUUGUAGUUAAAGCACAAAAACACACUUACCAUGUUUUUACCACAGUAACGUAGUUUUAAUGUGGUAUUUGUAGUUAAUCACAUAACUUGCCAUGCCUUUAAUACUUUUAUGUAAAAAAAAAUUUAAUUCAAUAUUUUUUUGUCUUGCAGUUUCUUCAGAUCACAUACAUCUCCAUCUCCUACAACAACCUUUAGUGUCCAGCAGCUGUUUAUCAACAGCUCUCUCUCUCUCUCUCUCUCUCUCAGCUUUUCCUUGCCUAUUUUUCUGAACUGUUAUUCAUAAUUAAUUUACACAUUUUUGCUCUCUUUCUUCCUUUCUCUUUUUCAUCAUGGCAUAUUUUCAAAGCUCAGAAUUGAAUUUUGAUCGGUUAUGUCAAAAAGCUGCUAAUAUUAACAGCUAAAAAAGAAGACCAAAGGAAGGCCUGUCGAACUCUUGUCUUGUCUUGUUUGUGGAGAGGGAUGAAUUUGGCCAUCUUGUGUGUUUACGGAGAAGACCAAAAGCUGCAAAGGCAAACAUUUCCAAUGGUAGAAACAGAGAGUUCGCAUGAUGGCCUUUUUCAGUUUUGUCAACUGAACGGCUGCUAGUGAGGGUCAACGAGUUCUUGUCAUGAUGAGCCCUCGCCAGCCAAAAUGGAAGACCAAAAACACAAAGAAAAUCAAUCACAGCAAGCCAGUCAAACCAGUCCUGUUGGGAACGAACAUGGUCUUCUUGUGCCCAAACAGAGAAGACAGAGAACUGAAAAUUUGCACAUUUCCAUUGCUCCUAGAAUGAGCAAAUCAGCUGUGCAUCAUCUCUGGGAUUUGGGAAGGAAAUGACCGAAUAUGGAGGAUGAAGCCAGUUGAUGAAGAUAUCAAUUCAGUGGCUACCAAGUGCUGCGCUGCUGCCUGAACCCAUCAGAUAUCUGCUGUGAAGACUGCAUUCCUGAACAGAUCUACUGCGACAGCUCAGAUGUUACGGCCCAUAAAAGAAACUUACCAACUGAACAACUGCAAGAUAGUGGUAGCCCAUACCUCCAACAACAUUCAACAGGAAUCAAUGGAAAGUCCAGUGCAACAAUUAUAAAUAAUAUUAUAUAUUGUUUAUUGAUUUACAGCACCCUAAAUUAUUUUGUUCCUUCAGGACAUCUACACCAGGUGGUUUGUGAAGAAAGCACGGAGGACCAUCAGACUCCAGCCACCCCAACCAUGGACUGCUUUCACCCUUACCAUCAACAGUACCCGCACCAGCAGACUGCGAGACAAGUUCUUUCCACAAGCAAUCAGACUGAACUGAACUCCUACCAUUAACACCACACACACCCCACCAACCUCUUAUGCACUGCACUCCAUCACUUACACUGACUGGACUCUGACUCACUAUUAUUCUGCACCCUGACAUUCUGUUUGCACUAAUUCAUACUGUACUGCACUGCAAAGGUAUAUGUGUACUGUGAUUAUUGUGUUUUAUUAUUGUUUUCAUUUCGUGCUCUGUAUAGUAUAAUAUUUACCAUAUGUUGUUCUCUACAUGUAUUGUGUGUGUGUGUGUGUAUAUAUAUAUAUAUAUAUAUAUAUAUAUAUGCACAUAUAUAGCUUUAACUACAUAUGUUGAAUAUAUAUUCAAUAUGUGUCAUCCAUAAUGUCAUGCUGCAGUUUGCACAGAAGACUUUCAAAACCUGUACGUGUUCAUGGUAUUGUGACAAUAAAGUGAUUUGAUUUGAAUUGGUCACAUUUCUUUUGUUCGUCAGUACUGUAAUGUGAUGGAUAACAACUGCAGAUUGUUCAUGACAUUGAAGAAGAAGUUUAUGAUAGGGACAUGGACAAGCAAGCAAGAGGAAGAAAACCAGGAGAGCUCUGAUGAUGAGAAGGAAACUGAAUGUGAUUCUAUGAUGCUCAAGACAUUUCACCAUGCAUGCAUU